UACGGAGGGGGCUAGCGUUGUUCGGAAUUACUGGGCGUAAAGCGCACGUAGGCGGCUUUGUAAGUUAGAGGUGAAAGCCCAGGGCUUAACCCUGGAAUUGCCUUUAAGACUGCAUCGCUAGAAUUGUGGAGAGGUAAGUGGAAUUCCGAGUGUAGAGGUGAAAUUCGUAGAUAUUCGGAAGAACACCAGUGGCGAAGGCGACUUACUGGACACAUAUUGACGCUGAGGUGCGAAAGCGUGGGGAGCAAAUAGG
rnacentral:rRNA from 1 species